rnacentral:rRNA from 2 species
GGGGGAUAUUGCGCAAUGGGGGCAACCCUGACGCAGCAACGCCGCGUGAAGGAUGAAGGUUUUCGGAUUGUAAACUUCUUUUAUUAAGGACGAAACUUGACGGUACUUAAUGAAUAAGCUCCGGCUAACUACGUGCCAGCAGCCGCGGUAAUACGUAGGGAGCAAGCGUUGUCCGGAUUUACUGGGUGUAAAGGGUGCGUAGGCGGCUUUGCAAGUCAGAUGUGAAAUCUAUGGGCUCAACCCAUAAACUGCAUUUGAAACUGUAGAGCUUGAGUGAAGUAGAGGCAGGCGGAAUUCCCCGUGUAGCGGUGAAAUGCGUAGAGAUGGGGAGGAACACCAGUGGCGAAGGCGGCCUGCUGGGCUUUAACUGACGCUGAGGCACGAAAGCGUGGGUAGCAAACAGGAUUAGAUACCCUGGUAGUCCACGCUGUAAACGAUGAUUACUAGGUGUGGGGGGUCUGACCCCUUCCGUGCCGGAGUUAACACAAUAAGUAAUCCACCUGGGGAGUACGGCCGCAAGGUUGAAACUCAAAGGAAUUGACGGGGGCCCGCACAAGCAGUGGAGUAUGUGGUUUAAUUCGAAGCAACGCGAAGAACCUUACCAGGUCUUGACAUCCAACUAACGAAGUAGAGAUACAUUAGGUGCCCUUCGGGGAAAGUUGAGACAGGUGGUGCAUGGUUGUCGUCAGCUCGUGUCGUGAGAUGUUGGGUUAAGUCCCGCAACGAGCGCAACCCUUGCUAUUAGUUGCUACGCAAGAGCACUCUAAUAGGACUGCCGUUGACAAAACGGAGGAAGGUGGGGACGACGUCAAAUCAUCAUGCCCCUUAUGACCUGGGCUACACACGUACUACAAUGGAUGUUAACAGAGGGAAGCAAGACAGCGAUGUGGAGCAAACCCCUAAAAACAUUCUCAGUUCAGAUUGCAGGCUGCAACCCGCCUGCAUGAAGAUGGAAUUGCUAGUAAUCGCAGAUCAGCGUGCUGCGGUGAAUACGUUCCCG